AUUGAACGCUGGCGGCAGGCCUAACACAUGCAAGUCGAGCGGAUGAAGGGAGCUUGCUCCUGGAUUCAGCGGCGGACGGGUGAGUAAUGCCUAGGAAUCUGCCUGGUAGUGGGGGAUAACGUCCGGAAACGGGCGCUAAUACCGCAUACGUCCUGAGGGAGAAAGUGGGGGAUCUUCGGACCUCACGCUAUCAGAUGAGCCUAGGUCGGAUUAGCUAGUUGGUGGGGUAAAGGCCUACCAAGGCGACGAUCCGUAACUGGUCUGAGAGGAUGAUCAGUCACACUGGAACUGAGACACGGUCCAGACUCAUACGGGAGGCAGCAGUGGGGAAUAUUGGACAAUGGGCGAAAGACUGAUCCAGCCAUGCCGCGUGUGUGAAGAAGGUCUUCGGAUUGUAAAGCACUUUAAGUUGGGAGGAAGGGCAGUAAGUUAAUACCUUGCUGUUUUGACGUUACCAACAGAAUAAGCACCGGCUAACUUCGUG
rnacentral:rRNA from 1 species